rnacentral:rRNA from 1 species
CCACACAGUAAACGAUGAAUACUCGCUGUUUGCGAUAUACAGUAAGCGGCCAAGCGAAAGCGUUAAGUAUUCCACCUGGGGAGUACGCCGGCAACGGUGAAACUCAAAGGAAUUGACGGGGGCCCGCACAAGCGGAGGAACAUGUGGUUUAAUUCGAUGAUACGCGAGGAACCUUACCCGGGAUUGAAAUGUAUAUGCUGACAGGUAGAAAUACUUGUUGUUCCCUUCGGGGACAUAUAUGUAGGUGCUGCAUGGUUGU